GUGUGUGAGAAGGCUCUACGGGUUGUAAAGCACUUUAUUCAGGGAGGAAGUUUAGUUGGUUAAUAGCUGAUUAAAUUGACGUUACCUGAAGAAUAAGCACCGGCUAACUCCGUGCCAGCAGCCGCGGUAAUACGGGGGGUGCAAGCGUUAAUCGGAAUUACUGGGCGUAAAGGGUUCGUAGGUGGUUUAUUAAGUCAGAUGUGAAAGCCCAGGGCUCAACCUUGGAACUGCAUUUGAUACUGGUAGACUAGAGUAUAGUAGAGGAGUGGGGAAUUUCUGGUGUAGCGGUGAAAUGCGUAGAGAUCAGAAGGAACACCAAUGGCGAAGGCAACACUCUGGACUAAUACUGACACUGAGGGACGAAAGCGUGGGGAUCAAACAGGAUUAGAUACCCUGGUAGUCCACGCUGUAAACGAUGAGUACUAGCUGUUGGGUUCGGUGUAAAGGAUCUAGUGGCGUAGCUAACGCGGUAAGUACUCC
rnacentral:rRNA from 1 species